GAAUAUCUAACACCAAUUGUAAUCUAAAACCAACAGCGACAAAGUGAAUGCAUUCACAUGAAAAAUAACAUAUAAUAUAAGAAAGUUAAAGAUUUAACUUUUCACACCAACUAGAAAGAGAAGUUCAAAUAUUAAUAUCAAUAAAUUAAAAGCAUGUUACAAUAAAAUGAAAACAUCUUAUAUUCAAACUGGCUAUAUUUGAAUUCGCCAAUUAAUCAACUCUUUUAGGAAAAUAGAAAAACAGUGUCAGGACAGUAGGCAUGCCACAACCCUUACUCAGACAAGGAAGUAGUGACAAUCCAACUAGGAGGAGGAAGAAGAAUUAUCCGGAUUCACCAGAAACGAAGUCAAUCACAAAAGCAAAUUUGAAAAAAUUAGGGUACAUGUUUGGGGAUUUUACCAGAUAUUUCAACAGAAAGAUGCAAAUCAGAAAAAUUGACAGCGGACAAGAGAAACACAGCGGCGGAGCAAGCGGAGGAGCAAGCGGCAGAUCAAGCACGGAGGAGCAAGUUGCAGAGCGAAGAGAGAAAAAUGAGAGUUUCAAAACCAAAAAAAUAAGUAAUUGAGAGUAAUUAUAAGUGAGGGCAAAAUUGUAAUAUUAUUUAUUUUAUAAGGUUAUUUUUGGUAAUAUAAAAUAUCUCACUUUCCCAUCAUUUCC
rnacentral:lncRNA from 1 species